UUUCCUGGAGGUGCCCAAAACCUGUCCUCUGCUGCGUGGUCAGGGCAUGCUGUGAACUGGGGCCUCAGUUUCCCCAUCUGUUUCUGGGACAGAAGGCUCUUCGGAUGGCCCGGGACUGUGGGUGCCCCUGGGGGAGGUCACCCUGGGGGCGCCGGCUGGCCCUGCCUGCCUCAGGGGAUGAGCCCUCGCAGCUGCUGGGGACCGACCCCGAGUCCCUCCACCUAAAAGGGACUUUACGGCAGGGAAGCAAGUGACCCAGAGGGCCGGGAAGCAAGAGGGGACAGCGGGGCCCGAGAGGAGCAGAGGGGUGGAGGCCAAGGGCGCCCGUGUCCCCCUGAGCCCAAGGCCAAGGCGGGGGGCUGGGGCCGGGGCCACCCAGCUCUGGGGCAAGGCUGGGCUCGCUGCCCCUUGUCCCUCAGGUUCAGCUGCCAGCCCUGGCCCCAGGGAGCCUUGGACUGACUCUGGGUCUGAGGCAGGCGCGGGGACCGGCGCCCCUCUUACCUGUGUGGGGAGCUCCCUGCCCCACAGCCAACCCAGGCCCCCCUCACUGUGGUGCUGGCUGCCCGGGGCCCACACCACCAUCCCCGGCUGGAGCGUUCUCCGUCCUCCUCAGGCGCCUCGCUGCCUCUGCCCCACUAAGUCCAACCCUGCAUCCUCCUGACCUGAGCCUUCCAUGCCUCCUGCCUGUCUCAGAGCAGAAAUAAAAGUUUCCACCGAGGCUCGGAGGCUCCACAGGGUCUGCAUCCCGCCCCAGGCUGCCCGCAUCUCUCUGACGCCACCGUGUGUCCCUUUCCCUCUCAUCUACAGCCACAGUGACCUCACCCCUGUGCCAGAAUGCACCAGCUAUGCUGGAGCCCCAGGGCCUUUGCACGUGUCCUGCCACGGCUCGCCUGGUGGUGCUCCUUGUUUGCCUGCAAGCUGCCCCCCAUUCCUCCUACCUCACACUGUUUUGCUUUCUUCUAGAACUUAUCACUCACCCGAGAAACUACCCCGCUUGUUUACCCUGUUUCUUGUCUGCCUCCUUCCAGUGGAAUGUUCCUGUCGCCAGGUGGGGGUUUGGUCUGUUUUGUUCACUGCUGCAUAUGCAGCCCCCAGCACGGGCCCCGCCUGGAGCAGGCGCCCUACAAACACUGGUGGGUGAGGCAGCAAUGGAUGAGGGGUGACCGGGGCCUUUGCAGAUGAGGGACUCAGGUCAGGGGACACCGGGGGCUGGGCUCACGUCGCCAAGUCUGCAGCAGAGCCAGGCCAGCAGGUCCCAGCCUGGGCAGUGGGGCUGGAGGUGAGAGGGCCCGGUGGCCCGGGAGAUCUGCUCGGGCUGGGCCGUGAGUGGUCAAAGGAGGUGUCAGCGCGGGCAGGCGGGGGGUCCACUUAUCCUGCUCAACGGGCCGCGGAGAUUCCGCGUGUGGGCAGGGCAGUGGCUGGGGCCCUGGUGCCGUCCGGCCGGGCCUGGAGGCCGACAUUCCAGGCGCUGUCCCUGCCCGUGGCCACAGGGACCCGCAUGGGCUGGGUGGGGCCGCGGGCCAGUCGGCCUUCCAGGCCGGGCUGCCUGACCACCACUUCCUGCCUGGCUCCUGGAGGUCCGAGGUGGGGGCGCCUCUGCCCACGCCCCCGCCCCCUCCUGCUUCUGCCUCUGCGGAUCCUGGCUGCACCCCCAGCAGCAGACCAGGCUCCGAGCCCCUCAGGCCCCUGCCACCUCCAUGGUGCAUCCCUGCUGGUGCCCAAGCCCCUGCCUGCUGCAGAAUUCCCCUACAGCCAAAGGGACUCACGGCUGCCAGUCCCAGGGAACCCACUGCUUCCAGAAAAAACCAGUCAAGCCCCACCCUGCCUCAGGGGGCUCCCCUCUGACUCCGUCUCUCCUCACACAUCCUCCCAGCCACUUUGGUCUUCUUGUUCGUGCAACAACUCACAUGUGUGCUUCCCCAGGGCCUUUGCACCGGCUGCUCUCGCUGCCUAGAACACUUGCCCCAGGUGUUAUGAGUGUCUCUCCCUGCUGAACCCCUUCCUGAAGUUAUUUCCUACUCCUACCCCCAGCUUCUUCCCUGCUUGAUCUCCUGGGCACUCAUCACCACCGCAUGUGCAGUAGUUUGGUUUUUUUUUUGUCUUAUUCUAUGAUUCACCCUCAGGGGUUUCUGUCUGUUUGGUUCUCUGAUGUGUCCCCAGUGCUUGGCAUGGAGUAUGUACUCUAAAAACGUUUGUCAAAUGACUGAAUGAGUAACUCCAUGAGUCGAUGGCAGAUAAGGACAUGGAUGUGACAGGCCACACAUCUGGUCUGAGGUUAAGCUGUGAGGGGAACCUGAGUCAGUCAGAUGCUGGACCUGAUGUCUUGGAAAUCGCAGGAGCCCGAGAUCAUACCGUGACCAGCAGACCCAGGGCGCUGUCCCGCGCCCGUCUGCUACCCACCCCCCCCAAGGCUGAUGCCUGCUUGCGGCAUUCCAGGCUCCGACCCAGGUUCUGCGAUUGCUAUUUUGAGCCUCCUGGCCCCAGGACUGUGUGUUCCCAGCAGGCGGCGUGGGCCAGCCCUGAGCCUGGGUGUGGCCGUCACCCUAGCUGAGGCCCGGCGACCUUAACCUGUUGGCUGCUGAGCCCGUUGUGUGGCCCUGCUCUCCACCCCACAUCCCCAUCCAGAGCCCUGCGGGGGUCCCCAGGAGUGGCAGGGGAUCAGCUGCCCUUGGGGGUGCCCACCUGUGUGUCCUGCCUCUGCCCCUCUGGCUGGGCAGCCCUGGGCAGGUCACUUAGAGCCCCGGUCUCGCUCACCCUCCCUCGUCUGUCCUGCGUGUUCCGGGGCUCUGUCCACCAUCUUCUUCCCCAGCACGGCCCCACCGGGCAGAGGCUGCUGUCUUCCCCGUGCAUGGCUACGUCCCUGGCAUGGUGCUCGGCGUACGGCCCGCACUCUGUCCAUGCUUGUCUAUCGAGCAGACGGUGAGUGGUCACUCCUCGGGGACUUGGGCCAGGGAGGGGCCGGGCCCAGGUGGUCCUGGAUGGAGCCCUGAGUCAGCCUGCCCCAGCGUCGUCCACCCUGCUGGGCACUGGGCCUUCUGGGACCGUGCUGGCCGCAGCCCUCAGGGCGCAGAGGGAAGAGACAGGUCCAGGAGCCCAGCGUGCUCGAAGGCUCACUCCGGGGUCCCUGGGUGCCCUGGGUUCUCUCAAGGUGGAGGCCAAAGAUGCCCCUCUGGUCCUCCUCCGAAGAUGGCUCCCCUCUCCCUCAACCCCAGUGUGCUUCUCAGAUACCUUGUGGGGGACCCAGCGGAGCCUCCAACUCAGCGACUCCUGACCCCCAAACUGGCCUCCCCCCCUCUGGGUCUCCCCAAGCCCAGGAGUCCUCCUGACGGCCCUCACUCGUCCCCGUGCCCGAGUGCUCUACAAGCCGUACCUUCCAGCCCCAGGCACUGGCCGGCUCCCACCUCCUCGGCCCAGCCUGGUCCUGGCCAGCAGCAUCACUGUCCGGACAGUGGCAGCCACUUCCUCCCUCUGCCACCCUGGAGCCUGUUCUCCACAGAAGGAUCCCUCAGAGCGCAAGUCAGGUCCUGUCCCCUGCUGCUGAGACCCUACCCAAGGUGCCCAUCUCUCUCGGGGGGAGUUCAAGUCCUCCUCCGCCCAUGAGGUCUGUGAGACCCUGGGGAUCCACCUCGCAGCAAAACCUCCACCGCUCUGAUGACCGAAGUUCCUCCCACUCUCUAGUCCCAAGGACUUCUUGUUACUCCUCCACAGGCUGGGCCUUCGAACCACAGGACCUUUGCAUGCACUGUGUCCUUGGCUUGGAGCCUCAGCCACUACAUAUCACACGGCUCCUCCUCGCCUCCUCGGGUCCACACUCCAUGUCAGCCCUGCAGCCUUCUCUGACUCAGGCUCUCCCUCUGUCCCUUGCUGGCCAUCCUCUGACCUAUUUUUCCUUCACAGAUGGAGGGGACAGCAGAAGUAAAGGCUUCCAGGAAUGUGUGCAGUGCAUGCGAGGGUGGGAGGUGAGCGCAGGAGGACAAGGGUGCUGGGAGGCCAGGCUGGGCCCAGGACGCGUGAGCAGGCAGGUGGCCUCGUGUUGGUGGCUGGCUACUUGUGCGACCCCAGGAAGCCCGCUUCUCUCUGGACCACGCGUCUUCGCCUGCAGCCCAGCUGGGCCCGAGCCUGACAGAUGGGGAAACCGAGCUUCCACAGCCCGGCCCAGAGGGUCAGGGCUCCAGCAACCACCCACACCUGAGCGGCUCUGUUCAACAUCAUGGCCAGGGAGGCCCUGGCCCCCGCACCCCUCCUCGCUGCACUGGUCUCUGUAGUCCUUGCUACUGCCUGAUGCACCGUGAUUUUCCUUACUGCUGAUCCUUCCAGGAUGGAGGCUCCAGUUUUGACUCUGUCAUGAUUGUGUCUCUUGCCUGCAACAGUGUAGUUGGCACAAGAAGGUGCUCCGGAAAGAACUGUGACGUGAGUGAAUAAUUUCCUCUUCUGUAGAAUGGUCUGCUGGUUGCUCUCAGCUGCGGGACGUUUGGGAGGCCCAGACCGACAUCCUGCGGGCCCCUGCUGCCCCCAGCCCCGGCCGGCCAGCUGUGUGCCUCUGGACCCGGGUACCCGGCCUCUCCAGGCCCUCCUGGCCACCUCCCCGCCGCCGUGCCACCGCCCCGACACCGCCUGCUGUUCUUGUUCUGCUUCAUGACGUCUCUGUCCCCCUCCUGGCCCCGCUUCUCCAGAACCAGCUUGUUUUUGUUUUCUGUUUUUACGGCUCCAUAAAUGAGUCACGGGCCUGAUUUGAUUUAA